UCGCCGAUGAUGACAGGACCACUGCGCAGUCUGAGAUCUGGGAACCAGGUGAUGGAGUGUGUUCUCAGAACGGACUGAGGCUG
ensembl:snoRNA